UUGUGUGAAGUGGUGUGAUAGGGCCACAGUUGCAGCAAUAAUCCAAUUAACAGAUCCAUUAACUUCCUUGACUUUCUCUAGAAUGGCACGUGAUAUCAUUGGAUCCCUUCUCUUCCCCAGCCUUUGCUGUCACCACAAAGCUGAUUCUAAUGAUGGAUUUGGUAAUUUCUUCCUUUUCAGGUGGCUUGAGACCUCAGCUAAAGUCUCAACACGAUGAUACAUUCUUUUCCCCAGAAUGCUUUCUCAUUUGUCAGUGGCUGCAAGACGUCUUAUUAAUCUAGACCAAAGAUGUUGGUAGAAGCAUCAAAGCUGGAACACUUUUAGAGGGACACAAUGAAAGCUACCUGAGUUAUGAAGCCAAAGGAGCAGCUCUUGUCUACGGGGCUCAAAAUUAAAGGGCUCUGGUGAAUAAACACUUCGAAAAGCAAGGAGAGAGAAAGAGCAGGAGAGAUAAUUUCCAGACUUCACUUACAACAUCAAUGCCAGUGGGAUAAAUUUAACGAGAAAUAAUAACAGCAAAGCAUUGUUUGGAAAUCUCUAAAUAUAUGAAAGUAAAUAUAUGAACUGAUUUGCCAGCAUCUCAACAUCAUAGCCAGG